GGGUGAGUAACACGUGGGUAACCUACCUAUAAGACUCGGAAUAACUCCGGGAAACCGGGGCUAAUGCCGGAUAAUAUUUAGAACCGCAUGGUUCUAAAGUGAAAGAUGGUUUUACUAUCACUUAUAGAUGGACCCGCGCCGUAUUAGCUAGUUGGUGGGGUAAUGGCUUACCAAGGCAACGAUACGUAGCCGACCUGAGAGGGUGAUCGGCCACACUGGAACUGAGACACGGUCCAGACUCCUACGGGAGGCAGCAGUAGGGAAUCUUCCGCAAUGGGCGAAAGCCUGACGGAGCAACGCCGCGUGAGUGAUGAAGGUCUUCGGAUCGUAAAACUCUGUUAUUAGGGAAGAACAAAUGUGUAAGUAACUGUGCACGUCUUGACGGUACCUAAUCAGAAAGCCACGGCUAACUACGUGCCAGCAGCCGCGGUAAUACGUAGGUGGCAAGCGUUAUCCGGAAUUAUUGGGCGUAAAGCGCGCGUAGGCGGUUUCUUAAGUCUGAUGUGAAAGCCCACGGCUCAACCGUGGAGGGUCAUUGGAAACUGGGAAACUUGAGUGCAGAAGAGGAAAGUGGAAUUCCAUGUGUAGCGGUGAAAUGCGCAGAGAUAUGGAGGAACACCAGUGGGCGAAGGCGACUUUCUGGUCUGUAACUGACGCUGAUGUGCGAAAGCGUGGGGAUCAAAACAGGAUUAGAUACCCUGGUAGUCCACGCCGUAAACGAUGAGUGCUAAGUGUUAGGGGGUUUCCGCCCCUUAGUGCUGCAGCUAACGCAUUAAGCACUCCGCCUGGGGAGUACGACCGCAAGGUUGAAACUCAAAGGAAUUGACGGGGACCCGCACAAGCGGUGGAGCAUGUGGUUUAAUUCGAAGCAACGCGAAGAACCUUACCAAAUCUUGACAUCCUUUGACAACUCUAGAGAUAGAGUCUUCCCCUUCGGGGGACAAAGUGACAGGUGGUGCAUGGUUGUCGUCAGCUCGUGUCGUGAGAUGUUGGGUUAAGUCCCGCAACGAGCGCAACCCUUAAGCUUAGUUGCCAGCAUUAAGUUGGGCACUCUAAGUUGACUGCCGGUGACAAACCGGAGGAAGGUGGGGAUGACGUCAAAUCAUCAUGCCCCUUAUGAUUUGGGCUACACACGUGCUACAAUGGACAAUACAAAGGGCAGCUAAACCGCGAGGUCAUGCAAAUCCCAUAAAGUUGUUCUCAGUUCGGAUUGUAGUCUGCAACUCGACUACAUGAAGCUGGAAUCGCUAGUAAUCGUAGAUCAGCAUGCUACGGUGAAUACGUUCCCGGGUCUUGUACACACCGCCCGUCACACCACGAGAGUCUGUAACACCCGAAGCCGGUGGAGUAACCAUUUAUGGAGCUAGCCGUCGAAGGUGGACAAAUGAUUGGGGUGAAGUCGUAAC
rnacentral:rRNA from 1 species